GUGAGGAAUAUUGCACAAUCAGCGAAAGCUGGAUGCAGCAACGCCGCGUGGACGAUGAAGGCCCUCGGGUUGUAAAGUCCUUUUGAGAGGGACGAGGACGGACGGUACCUCUCGAAUAAGUCUCGGCUAACUACGUGCCAGCAGCCGCGGUAACACGUAGGAGGCAAGCGUUAUCCGGAUUUAUUGGGCGUGAAGCGCACGCAGGUGGUUGGGUAAGUCGGGUGUGAAAGCCUCAGACUUAAUCUGGGGAGGUCAUUCGAUACUGCUCAGCUUGAGAGCGGGAGAGGGAAGCGGAAUUCCGGGUGUAGUGGUGAAAUGCGUAGAUAUCCGGAGGAACACCAGUGGCGAAGGCGGCUUCCUGGCCCGUUUCUGACACUCAGGUGCGAAAGCGUGGGGAGCGAACGGAAUUAGAAACCCCUGUAGUCC
rnacentral:rRNA from 1 species